AAAAAGAAUUAAAAUAAUAAACACCCUUUCUGUCAGGUUGAGCGAAGUCGAAGCCCAAAAAAGCACAAGGCUUCGACUUCGCUCAGCCUGACAAUCCAAAAAAUUAAGUAUUUAUAGUA
rnacentral:miRNA from 1 species